UCGCCUCCAUUAUCUUCUCCACCAGUCUCUCUCUCCCCUCUUGCUUUCUUGUUUAUGAAUGGAUUGCAGCAUAGGAAAGGUUGUUAGAGCUGAGGAGAAUGCCGAGAUUGGAGAUUCUCGGCAUACAUGCGCUCUGAUUCGAAGCACCCAGCAAGAUGACAAUCCAUAUGAUGAACGGUGCAGAAAGAUGAUUCAUCAUCGACAACGAUCGAAUCAGUGGGAGUCCUGACUCCUGACGGCUCAAAGUUGUAGUAGUUGUGGGCUUUCCACUCCCUCCCCUGCUACAUUAAAUAAGAUUUAAACAGAAAAUUCUUUUUUUAUAUCUCAAAAAUCUCUAUUCUCUUAAUCAGAGGAGAAGAAGACUUACUUUCAUUGGUGAUCAAUAAUCAAACUCAAAAACAAACGACACAAGCCCUACUCUGCAUCAGUGGUUUUGCUUUCAAUGAAGUUGUUCCAAUUCCACACUGUUAUUGCCUUCUCCCCCUAAGCACAAAUCCUCAACUUGCUGAAUCAAGCCCAAGAAAGGCUUGUUAUGAGUCUGCAAGACUAUUGGGGGGAAGAGGUGGGCGGAGGGAAAAGAGAUGCAGAGACAGAAAGAUGAGCAUCAGUGGCCACUGUGGAUCCAGUGGUUGCAAUGGUCUGGUGGGGGUUACUCAAAUGGUGUUCCUGGUGCAGUUACACUGGAGGAGGUAGAGGUCUAUGCUGCAGAUGUUGGACAAGACAAAAAGUGGGCAUUACAAAAUUACCUCUGGUUGAGUAAGAACUUGAUACUCCAAAAGAGAUUGAUCUGAGACUACUACCAUCACUUGAUAUGCAAACAAUUAAAGAUAAGAAAGAUGGAGGAACUCUUACUACUAAGGAGAGAAAGAAACCGAAAGAAGCAGGUGUGAUAGGGAGCACAAUGGAUGCAGUUGGGUCUGGGAUUGGGAUGGUGGGAAGCGGUAUUGGAGCUGGCGUUGGUGCAACAGUUGGGUCUUGUCGGGAGUUGUGUUGGUGCUGUGGGCACUGUCCUCGGCAAGGCUGGAAAGUCCAAGGGCAGGACCAUUACAGGGCAAUCAAGCAGCUCCCAGAUGAGUGGUAGCAGCAUUCCUGUAACGCCGAAUGGUGGUGCAAAGCCAGCAUGAAUUUUCUUAUACAGUCUUAGCUUUUCAUACCUGUGUUACCAUCUUGUGAUUUGUACUACUUUAAAAUCUUAAAUGAUUAGUUCGAAGAUUAGAAA